rnacentral:misc_RNA from 1 species
CCUUUAAAUCCCUGGCCUCCUACAAUGUCUACUAAUCCCAAUCUCGGUUUUUCUGGGAUCUCUGGUGCCGCUUUCGCAGACCCCUUUCAGGUUCCUCCCGGCGGAGAUACCGGAGAACCCGGGUUUCAGUUCUCCCAGAUGGAUCACCACUCCACUGGAUUCAGGUUUUCGGAUUUCGGUGCUGGGGCUGCUGCUGAGUUCGACUCGGACGAGUGGAUGGAUAGUUUGAUGGGUGGUGGAGACUCAACGGAUAGUUCGAAUCUGCCUUCUGGUUGCGACGCGUGGCAAAAUAAUGCUGAUUUUGGUCUCUACGGUCCUGAUCCAUUCACCGCCUGCCCAACUCGUCUCAGCGGGGCUUGCUCUUCGCCCUCCGAUCUCAACAGAGUCAUCUUCUCGGAAACCCAGAAAAGCCCUAACCCACUUCAAGUCCCGGCCUGGGCUCCAUCUCCGCCACCUCCUCCUCCGCAAGCGGUUGUGAAAGACGCCAAGCCGGCCAAUCCUCCUCCACCAUCGACUCUCAAAAACGACGCAAUUGGUAUCUCUUCUAGUUCGCCAGAAAUCGAGUCAGCGCCGCCGCUCUUGAAAGCUCUGCUAGAGUGUGCUCGACUCGCCGAGUCAGAACCUGAGAAAGCAGUGAAAUC